AUUCAAGGUGGGGGAGACACCGCCACCAGCUCUGAAGUCGGGGCAAGAGGUAACAGUGGCCUGACGAGCGUGCAGUUCCUCCUGUGGCUCCCUUCACAACCUCGUGACUUCUUGAUGCUAGAGCAGUGAGGAGUGAAGGCCCACUUCUCUCCACAAAGGGUAGACUGAGGUUAUUCCAUGGCACAGUAUAAGGCCCUGAAUAUACAGAAAGGAAAGAUGGAGCCCAUCGAGAAGGGAGAAGAAGGACCAGCAAACAGCCAGGACAAGCUGUGUGAAAAGUGACACAGCAGGUAAAUCCAGAGAGCUCUGGGAACCAGAGGUGCCAAACAGCACAAACCAGGAGAGACCAUCAGUGGGACGGAUGCAGAAGGCUCUGGAGGAGGCAAUAAGUUCGUGGAUUCUAAACACUGUUUAACCAGGAAGUAACAGACAAGGUAGGAGGAACUCCCCGAGGUCAGGAAGCAGUGUCUAUUCAUUUGUCGUAUGGAAUCACCACACCCUUCAGUGAUGGCCAUGCUUUCCUUGUCGCCUUCUUUGAGAUUGAGUGGGCCCCACAGAACGGCGUUCCCAGAAGCCUUGGUGACUGCUCAGAUCCCAGCUGCUUUACCUGCCAGCAUCCUGAAACUCAGUAAGAUCAGAGUCCAGACCUCGUAAGAUGUUGAGACUUCACCUACCGCUGCCCCACCCAGGCUGAUGAAGCAUCAAUCCAAGAUGAAGGGGCCCAUCCCUGAGUCUGUCUCUCUUCUCUGGCUUUGUCACUCUGGACUUUGCUUCCGGCUUCAAGUUUCUAGGUGUAAUAUGUGAAGAUUAAUGGCAAUGAAGCAAACGUGCAUAAGAAAAUCCACGCAGCAAAGGCAAUUCCGUUAUUCUCAAGUCCAUAGAUGCCCAGUGUGACAUUGUGAACUGGAGAAAAAGGAGCACUUCCUGUUCAGGAAAUCUUGUAAAAUCAUAAAUGUCAGGACUCAGUCAACAAUACCCCAAAAUGAAGGCCUCAGAAGCAUCCUCAGAGGAAAAAUUUAUUUCUCUGAUCUUCUCUUGCCCUCCUGUCUCUUAGCGCCAUUCUCCCCUGAGGCUAGACACAGACACUAGAAUCCCUCUGCCCCAGGGCAGGGCAUGGAAGCCAGAAGCCUUUUUCCCCAAAGCCAGCCAUAAAACUUAAAGAUGUCACUCUAACUUUCCCUCUGCCUUUCUGUGUGAAAACUGGCCAUAAAGAAACUAUCUGCCCUACCUUGUUUGACUGAAGGUCAUAAGACCCUCAUUCCAGAGAGGGUCCUGCCUCAUACUCAGAAGGAAGGAAUGCACGUUCAGCAAGGCCAAGAAGAAUCUAAACAGACAGGCCUUGCUGAGUUUCCCCACUCAGCCGAUUGACAUUGGAUCAUGCCCUUUUCGUCUAAUCCUAUAUCUACACGGCUGUCCAUACUUUGUUGAACAUAAGCAUAAAAAUGGUCAGUUUCCUCUGUAUCUUUGGGUCAUUCUGAAGGUUCUCAUGUACACAUUAAUAAAAUUUAUACCCAUUUUCUCCAAUUAACCUGCCUUUUGUGAGUUGAUUUUUCAGCAAACCUUCAGAAAAUGAAGAGGCUUUCCCUUUGCCCCUCCAGUAACAAAAUGGUAUCUCAUUCUCUAAAUACAAUUAUUUCUAUAAAAUGCCUUUUCUAGGCUGGGUGUGGUGGCUCACGCCUGUAAUUCCAGCACUUUGGGAGGCCGAGGCGGGGGGAGGUGGUGGGUGGAUCACUUGAGGCCAGCAGUUCAAGUCCAGUCUGGACAACAUGGUGAAACCUCGUCUCUACUAAAAAUACAAAAAUUAGCCGGGCGUGGUGGUGUGCACCUGUAGACCCAGCUACUCGAGAGGCUGAGGCAGGAGAAUCACUUGAACCUGGGAGGCAGAGGUUGCAGUGAGCCGAGAUCGCACCACUGCACUCCAGCCUGGGCAACAGAGCAAGACUCGGUCUCAAAAAAUAAAAUAAAAUAAAAUAAAAUAAAAUAAAAUAAAAUAAAAUAAAAUAAAAUAAAAUAAAA
rnacentral:lncRNA from 1 species